rnacentral:rRNA from 1 species
AGCGAACGUUAGCGGCGGGCCUAACACAUGCAAGUCGAGCGAGAAAGUGGCUUCGGCCAUCAGUAAAGCGGCGGACGGGUGAGUAACACGUAGGUAAUCUUCCCUCGAGCGGGGGACAACGUUUCGAAAGGAACGCUAAUACCGCAUACGUUUCAGGGAACUCCGGUUCCCUGGAGGAAAGCUAGGUCGCAAGAUCCGGCACUCGAGGAGGAGCCUGCGUCGCAUCAGCUAGUUGGUGGGGUAACGGCCUACCAAGGCGAAGACGCGUAG